GCGUGCUUGGGCGAGAGUAG
rnacentral:snRNA from 1 species